rnacentral:misc_RNA from 1 species
UCCGGCUUAUCACCGGCAGUUUCCCCAGAGUGCCCAGCUUGACCUGCUGGCAACAGGGGACGAGGGUUGCGCUCGUUGCGGGACUUAACCCAACAUCUCACGACACGAGCUGACGACAGCCAUGCAGCACCUGUGUGGAAGCCAGCCGAACUGAAGGAGUGCAUCUCUGCUCUCCAUACUUCCCAUGUCAAGGCCUGGUAAGGUUCUUCGCGUUGCCUCGAAUUAAACCACAUGUUCCACCGCUUGUGCGGGUCCCCGUCAAUUCCUUUGAGUUUUAAUCUUGCGACCGUACUCCCCAGGCGGGGUGCUUAACGCGUUAGCUACGCCACCGAGAACUACGUUCCCGACGGCUAGCACCCAUCGUUUACAGCGUGGACUAC